UACGUAGGGUGCGAGCGUUAAUCGGAAUUACUGGGCGUAAAGCGUGCGCAGGCGGUUUUGUAAGUCAGAUGUGAAAUCCCCGGGCUCAACCUGGGAAUGGCAUUUGGGACUGCAAGGCUGGAGUGUGGCAGAGGAGACUGGAAUUCCUGGUGUAGCAGUGAAAUGCGUAGAUAUCAGGAGGAAUACCGAUGGCGAAGGCAGGUCUCUGGGCUGACACUGACGCUCAUGCACGAAAGCGUGGGGAGCAAACAGG
rnacentral:rRNA from 1 species